rnacentral:rRNA from 1 species
CAGAGGGUGCGAGCGUUGUUCGGAAUUACUGGGCGUAAAGCGCGCGCAGGCGGCCUUUUAAGUCUACCCGUGAAAUGCCGGGGCUCAACUCCGUGCACGCUGGGGGAUACUGGGAGGCUGGAGACAGGUAGAGGCAAGCGGAAUUCCGGGUGUAGCGGUGGAAUGCGUAGAUAUCCGGAAGAACACCUGAGGCGAAGGCGGCUUGCUGGGCCUGAUCUGACGCUGAGGCGCGAAAGCGUGGGGAGCAAACAGGAUUAGAUACCCUGGUAGUCCACGCCGUAAACGAUGGGCACUAGACGCGGGUGGGAUCGACCCCUUCCGUGUCGCAGCUAACGCGAUAAGUGCCCCGCCUGGGGAGUACGGCCGCAAGGCUG